UACGGAGGAUGCAAGCGUUAUCCGGAAUGAUUGGGCGUAAAGAGCUCGUAGGCGGUCUGUUGCGUCGGCUGUGAAAACCCGGGGCUCAACCCCGGGCCUGCAGCCGAUACGGGCAGACUAGAGUUCGGUAGGGGAGUCUGGAAUUCCUGGUGUAGCGGUGAAAUGCGCAGAUAUCAGGAGGAACACCGGUGGCGAAGGCGGGACUCUGGGCCGAUACUGACGCUGAGGAGCGAAAGCGUGGGGAGCGAACAGG
rnacentral:rRNA from 1 species